rnacentral:rRNA from 1 species
UACGUAGGGGGCAAGCGUUGUCCGGAUUUAUUGGGCGUAAAGCGCUCGCAGGUGGUUCGUCGCGUCGUGCGUGAAAGACCCCGGCUCAACUGGGGGAGGUCGUGCGAUACGGGCGGACUGGAGGCCAGUAGGGGGAUGCGGAAUUCCGGGUGUAGUGGUGGAAUGCGUAGAGAUCCGGAGGAACACCAGCGGCGGAAGGCGGCAUCCUGGACUGGGUCCUGACACUCAGGAGCGAA